rnacentral:rRNA from 1 species
UACGUAGGGGGCAAGCGUUGUCCGGAAUCAUUGGGCGUAAAGAGCGUGUAGGCGGCCCGGUAAGUCCGCCGUGAAAGUCCAGGGCUCAACCCUGGAACGCCGGUGGAAACUGCCGGGCUGGAGUCCGGAAGAGGCGAGUGGAAUUCCUGGUGUAGCGGUGAAAUGCGCAGAUAUCAGGAGGAACACCAAUGGCGAAGGCAGCUCGCUGGGACGGUACUGACGCUGAGACGCGAAAGCGUGGGGAGCAAACAGG